GAAUUUGAAGUAUUUAUAAAUACAUUCAGUUUCGACCUGAAAAAAGGAUAUAAAUCCCUUAUUUU
rnacentral:tRNA from 1 species